rnacentral:rRNA from 1 species
UGUUUCGGCUAGGGGGCCAUCCCGGCUUACCAACCCGAUGCAAACUGCGAAUACCGGAGAAUGUUAUCACGGGAGACACACGGCGGGUGCUAACGUCCGUCGUGAAGAGGGAAACAACCCAGACCGCCAGCUAAGGUCCCAAAGUCAUGGUUAAGUGGGAAACGAUGUGGGAAGGCCCAGACAGCCAGGAUGUUGGCUUAGAAGCAGCCAUCAUUUAAAGAAAGCGUAAUAGCUCACUGGUCGAGUCGGCCUGCGCGGAAGAUGUAACGGGGCUAAACCAUGCACCGAAGCUGCGGCAGCGAACGUAUCACUUAAAACGAUUCAGAAGCUUACGAUUGACGGAGCGAAGCGACGUCAAAGCGUAUACAAAGUCGAGUCGGUUUAAGGAUACGUUCGUUGGGUAGGGGAGCGUUCUGUAAGCCUGUGAAGGUGGCCUGUGAGGGUUGCUGGAGGUAUCAGAAGUGCGAAUGCUGACAUAAGUAACGAUAAAGCGGGUGAAAAGCCCGCUCGCCGGAAGACCAAGGGUUCCUGUCCAACGUUAAUCGGGGCAGGGUGAGUCGACCCCUAAGGCGAGGCCGAAAGGCGUAGUCGAUGGGAAACGGGUUAAUAUUCCCGUACUUGGUGUUACUGCGAAGGGGGGACGGAGAAGGCUAUGUUGGCCGGGC